rnacentral:lncRNA from 1 species
GGUCACAGGUUCGAUCCAAGCAGAAAGUGGAAGGUUCGAUCCCAGCCCAAGUGGUAGGUUCGGUCCCGGGCCAAGCGGUAGUCCCUCUGCCUGGCUACGGUCACAGGUUCGAUCCCAGUGGAAAGUGGUAGGUUUGGUCCCGGGCGAAGUGGAAGGCUCUCUGCCGAGCUACGGUCACAGGUUCGAUCCCAGCGGAAAGUGGAAGGUUCAAUGCCGGGCUAUGGUCAGAGGUUCGAUCCCAGCAGAAAGUGGUAUGUUCGGUCCCGGGCCAAGCGGUAGGCUCUCUGCCGGGCUACUGUCACAGGUUCGAUCCAAGCAGUGGUAGAUUAGGUCCUGGGUCAAGUGGUAGGCUCUGUGCCGGGCUCAGUCACAGGUUCGAUCCCAGCGAAAAGUGGUAGGUUCGGUCCCGGGCCAAGUGGUAGGCUCUCUGCCGGGCUACGGUCACAGGUUUGAUCCCAGCGUAAAGUGGUAGGUUCGGUCCCGGGCCAAGCGGCUCUCUGCCGGGCGACGGUCACAGGUUCGAUCCCAGCGGAAAGUGGUUUGGUCCCGGGCCAAGCUGUAGGCUCUCUGCCAGGCUACGGUCACAGGUUCGAUCCCAGCGUAAAGUGGUAGGUUCGGUUCUGGGCCAAGCGGUAGGCUCUCUGCCGGGCUACGGUCACAGGUUUGAUCCCAGUGUAAAGUGGCAGGUUCGGUCCCGAGCCAAGCGGCUCUCUGCCGGGCUACGGUCACAGGUUCAGUCCCAGCAGAAAGUGUUAGCUUCGGUCCCAGGCCAAGUGGUAGGCCCUCUGCCGGGCUACGGUCACAGGUUCCAUCCCAGCGGAAAGUGGUAGGUUCGGUCCCGGGCCAAGCAGUAGGCUCUCUGCCGGGCUACGGUCACAGGUUCGAUCCCAGCGUAAAGUGGUAGGUUCGGUCCCGGGCCAAGCACUAGGCUCUCUGCCAAGCUACGGUCACAGGUUCGAUCCCAGUGGAAAGUGGUAGGUUCGGUCCCGGGCCAAGUUGUAAGCUGUCUUCCGGGCUACGGUCACAGGUUAGAUCCCAGCAAAAAGUGGUAGGUUCGGUCCCGGGCCAAGCUGUAUGCUCUCUGCAGGGCUACGGUCACAGGUUCGAUCCAAGCGGAAAGUGGAAGGUUCGAUCCCAGCCCAAGUGGUAGGUUCGGUCCCGGGCCAAGCGGUAGUCCCUCUGCCUGGCUACGGUCACAGCUUCGAUCCCAGUGGAAAGUGGUAGGUUUGGUCCCGGGCGAAGUGGAAGGCUCUCUGCCGAGCUACGGUCACAGGUUCGAUCCCAGCGGAAAGUGGAAGGUUCAAUGCCGGGCUAUGGUCAGAGGUUCGAUCCCAGCAGAAAGUGGUAUGUUCGGUCCCGGGCCAAGCGGUAGGCUCUCUGCCGGGCUACUGUCACAGGUUCGAUCCAAGCAGUGGUAGAUUAGGUCCUGGGUCAAGCGGUAGGCUCUGUGCCGGGCUCAGUCACAGGUUCGAUCCCAGCGAAAAGUGGUAGGUUCGGUCCCGGGCCAAGUGGUAGGCUCUCUGCCGGGCUACGGUCACAGGUUUGAUCCCAGCGUAAAGUGGUAGGUUCGGUCCCGGGCCAAGCGGCUCUCUGCCGGGCGACGGUCACAGGUUCGAUCCCAGCGGAAAGUGGUUUGGUCCCGGGCCAAGCUGUAGGCUCUCUGCCAGGCUACGGUCACAGGUUCAAUCCCAGCGUAAAGUGGUAGGUUCGGUUCUGGGCCAAGCGGUAGGCUCUCUGCCGGGCUACGGUCACAGGUUUGAUCCCAGUGUAAAGUGGCAUGUUCGGUCCCGGGCCAAGCGGCUCUCUGCCGGGCUACGGUCACAGGUUCAGUCCCAGCAGAAAGUGUUAGCUUCGGUCCCAGGCCAAGUGGUAGGCCCUCUGCCGGGCUACGGUCACAGGUUCCAUCCCAGCGGAAAGUGGUAGGUUCGGACCCGGGCCAAGCAGUAGGCUCUCUGCCGGGCUACGGUCACAGGUUCGAUCCCAGCGUAAAGUGGUAGGUUCGGUCCCGGGCCAAGCACUAGGCUCUCUGCCGGGCUACGGUCACAGGUUCCAUCCCAGCGGAAAGUGGUAGGUUCGGUCCCGGGCCAAGCGGUAGGCUCUCUGCCGGGCUACGGUCACAGGUUCGAUCCCAGCGUAAAGUGGUAGGUUCGGUCCCGGGCCAAGCACUAGGCUCUCUGCCAAGCUACGGUCACAGGUUCGAUCCCAGUGGAAAGUGGUAGGUUCGGUCCCGGGCCAAGCUGUAAGCUGUCUUCCGGACUACGGUCACAGGUUAGAUCCCAGCAAAAAGUGGUAGGUUCGGUCCCGGGCCAAGCUGUAUGCUCUCUGCAGGGCUACGGUCACAGGUUCGAUCCAAGCGGAAAGUGGAAGGUUCCAUCCCAGCCCAAGUGGUAGGUUCGGUCCCGGGCCAAGCGAAAGUCCCUCUGCCUGGCUACGGUCACAGGUUCGAUCCCAGUGGAAAGUGGUAGGUUUGGUCCCGGGCGAAGUGGAAGGCUCUCUGCCGAGCUACGGUCACAGGUUAGAUCCCAGCGGAA